UACAGAGGUGGCAAGCGUUGUUCGGAAUUACUGGGCGUAAAGGGCGCGUAGGCGGCUUGGUCAGUCCCGUGUGAAAUCCCUCGGCUCAACUGAGGAACUGCACGGGAAACUGCCUGGCUUGAGUUCGGGAGAGGGAAGCGGAAUUCCGGGUGUAGCGGUGAAAUGCGUAGAUAUCUGGAGGAACACCGGUGGCGAAGGCGGCAUCCUGGACCAAUACUGACGCUGAGGAGCGAAAGCCAGGGGAGCAAACGGG
rnacentral:rRNA from 1 species